rnacentral:tRNA from 1 species
GGGGUUGUGGUUCAGUGGUAGAACACUUGCUUAGCAUGUAUGAGGCAUUGGGUUCAAUCCUCAACAUCA